CUUAUAAACAACAAAUUUAUUUCUCACUGUUCAAAAAGUUGAGGGUCUGAGAUCGGGGUGUCACAAUAGCUGAUUUCUGGUGAGCGCCCUCUUCCAGGCUAUAGACAGAUGACUUCUCAGUGUGUCCUCACAUGGAGGAAGGAAAGAGCAAGCUCUCUGGAUUUUUUUUCUUUUUAUAAGGACACUAAUCUCAUUAAUGAGAUCUCCAUUUCCAUGACCUAAUUAGCUUCCAAAGGUCUACUUCCAAAUACCAUCACACUGGCAAUCAGAUUUCACAUAGGAGUUUUCUGAGGGGAGCACAAUCAUUCAGUCCACAACUGUUAGUAAACCCUGCAGGUUGCCACUGGUAAGAGGAGAAGGUUGCAAACUUUAAACAGGGCCAGACAUACCCAGUGGCCACCCCCUGGCUCCAGCAGGUUGGUGUCAUGUGGAAUGCGGAGAGAGGGUUGCCAGAUAUCCUAAUUUAUGAAGAAAAGCUGGAAAUUCACAUAUUUAUAUCCUUGAUUUUAAAUGUGGGCAAAUAAUUUACAGAGUUAAAGCCCAGUAGGAAAAAAUGCACUGCACUUGCAGGCCUUGGGUUUGUGGCUCUACUCUGCAGGGCUGAGCAUCCCUGAUACAGGGAGAGAAAGGGAGUCCUGGGUGCUGUCUAGAGAGGAAGAAAUUGGAGAGAGUGCUGUGUACAAACAUGAUGGAAAAGGAAGACAGGAAGAAGAAUCAGAAGGAAGAUACAUGAGGCAUGCUUUGAGAGCAGCGGCAAGGGCCACUGACACUCCCCAGCGUUUGUACUUUGGGUUGUAUUUAUGUUUUCUCUCCUACGAAUUAUGCCCAAUAGGAGAGAGUCAAAAAUCUCACUGCUAAAAGUCCCAUGACAACCUCCCUUAUCUUGCCACGAUCCCUCAGAACCACUGCGAGUUAAGGAAACAGGAAGAUCCCUACUCUGAUCACAGGAAAGGCAGAUGCCUUCUAUCUACACUGGCCACCAGAGGAGGACGGAGUGCUGUAGUGUGGGCUGCGGUGGGAGGCAGAUGAGAAGCGGUUGGUCAGAAUCUGCCAUGGUCAGCUGGUGCUGGGAAUGCCAAAGCCGGAAGUCCCUUCCUGUGGCUGACUCACAGACGUCCAGGGCCUGCACUCCAAGCAGCAAUGACUCUAAACACUCAUGGAUUCUGGGCAUUGGACACUAAGAGACGCCCAGGUGGAUUACCUGAGGGUGGCAUCACUUAGCAGGAGUGCUGCAUGGACCUUAUGGCAGUCAGGGUGACAUGGACUUCAUGAAUUAGCUACUGCUGUGCCUGAUGAUUUUCUAGCACAAGUAGCCCCAAGUGAUCUGCAACAGCCAUCGCUUCACAUUGAGAAGGAUUCUUUUUAUUUUCCUUGUCAGCAGCAUCCCCCUGUCUCGGUAAGAGCCCCUAGAUUCAUAAUUAAGAUUGGUGACAGAGCUAAAAUUCUGGAGAUGGGAAAUAUAAAUUCCGCUAGUGGGGAACUGGAGUGGUGGAGAGUGGGGCCACUUCUAAUCUUCUCCUUGUUUUUCAGACACAGCAAUUGUACCUUUGAGGACAUGACACC
rnacentral:lncRNA from 1 species